GAUGAACGUUGGCGGCGUGCCUAACACAUGCAAGUCGAACGGACCCAAUUCUUCGGAUGAGGGUUAGUGGCAAACGGGUGAGUAACACGUAGGUGACCUGCCCCGAAGUGGGGGAUAACAACUGGAAACGGUUGCUAAUACCGCAUGUGCUCGAUGAUUCAUUUCGUCGAGUAAAGUUCCGGCGCUUCGGGAGGGGCCUGCGGUCGAUUAGCUUGUUGGUAGGGUAAUGGCCUACCAAGGCGAUGAUCGAUAGGGGGCGUGAGAGCGCGACCCCCCACACUGGGACUGGGACACGGGCCAGACUCCUACGGGAGGCAGCAGUGAGGAAUAUUGCACAAUGGGCGAAAGCCUGAUGCAGCAACGCCGCGUGAGGGACGAAGGCCUUCGGGUCGUAAACCUCUUUUCUGAGGGACGAGAAAGGACGGUACCUCAGGAAUAAGUCUCGGCUAACUACGUGCCAGCAGCCGCGGUAAAAC
rnacentral:rRNA from 1 species